rnacentral:rRNA from 1 species
AGCAGCCGCGGUAAUUCCAGCUCCAAUAGCGUAUAUUAAAGUUGUUGCAGUUAAAAAGCUCGUAGUUGAAUUUCGGGAUCAAGUGAUCGGUCAUGCCUUGGUAUGCACUGGUUUCAUUGGUUCUCACCUUCUAAAGAACCAUGAUGUCAUUCAUUUGAUGUUAUGGGGAAUUAGGACUGUUACCUUGAAAAAAUUAGAGUGUUUAAAGCAGGCUUACGCUUGAAUACAUUAGCAUGGAAUAAUGAAAUAGGACAUCCGAUUCUAUUUUGUUGGUUUCUAGGAUCGAUGUAAUGAUUAAUAGGGAUAGUUGGGGGCAUUAGUAUUCAAUUGUCAGAGGUGAAAUUCUUGGAUUUAUUGAAGACUAACUACUGCGAAAGCAUUUGCCAAGGAUGUUUUCAUUAAUCAAGAACGAAAGUUAGGGGAUCGAAGACGAUCAGAUACCGUCGUAGUCUUAACCAUAAACUAUGCCGACUAGGGAUCGGAUGAUGUUAAUUUUAUAAUGACUCAUUCGGCACCUUACG